rnacentral:tRNA from 1 species
GGAUUGUGGCUCAGAGGAAAAGGGCUCACCUAGCAUGCGUGAGGUCCUGAGUUCGAUCCUCAGCACCA